GCCUUGCUAGGUCAAUUGGUAGAGCGUGAGUUUUUACGAUGUUCAUCCGCGAAAUAAUUUUAAGGUUGCGGGUUCAACCCCUGCGUAAGGCU
rnacentral:tRNA from 1 species